rnacentral:ribozyme from 1 species
GCUGCUCGAAAAAUGCACACCGCUACGAGGUGAGCAGCAGGCAACGUUCAAUGAACGGCUAAGAGGCAAUA